GAUGAACGCUGGCGGCGUGCCUAAUACAUGCAAGUCGAGCGAACGGACGAGAAGCUUGCUUCUCUGAUGUUAGCGGCGGACGUGUGAGUAACACGUGGAUAACCUACCUAUAAGACUGGGAUAACUUCGGGACACCGGAGCUAAUCGCGGAUGAUAUUUUGAACCGCGUGGUUCAAAAGUAAAAGACGGUCUUGCUGUCACUUAUAGAUGGAUCUGCGCUGUUUUAGCUGGUUGGUAAGUUAACAGCUUACCAAGGCAACGAGGCAUAGACGAACUGAGAGGGUGAUAGGCGACCCUGGAACUGAGACACGGACCAGACUCCUAAGGGACGCAGCAGUAGGCAAUCGUCCGCAACGGGCGAAAGCCUGACGGAGCAACGCCGCGUGAGUGAUGAAGGUCUUCGGAUCGUAAAACCCGGUUAUUAGGGAAGAACAGAUGUGUAAGUAACUGUGCACAGCUUGACGGUAACUAAUCAGAAAGCCACGGCUAACUACGUG
rnacentral:rRNA from 1 species